GAUGAUCCCCGCUUGCGGGGGGAUUAGUGGCGAACGGGUGAGUAACACGUGAGUAACCUGCCCUUGACUCUGGGAUAAGCCUGGGAAACCGGGUCUAAUACCGGAUAUGACNCCNNNCCGCAUGGCGGGGGGUGGAAAGCUUUAGCGGUUUUGGAUGGACUCGCGGCCUAUCAGCUUGUUGGUGAGGUAAUGGCUCACCAAGGCGACGACGGGUAGCCGGCCUGAGAGGGUGACCGGCCACACUGGGACUGAGACACGGCCCAGACUCCUACGGGAGGCAGCAGUGGGGAAUAUUGCACAAUGGGCGCAAGCCUGAUGCAGCGACGCCGCGUGAGGGAUGACGGCCUUCGGGUUGUAAACCUCUUUCAGUAGGGAAGAAGCGAAAGUGACGGUACCUGCAGAAGAAGCGCCGGCUAACUACGUGCCAGCAGCCGCGGUAAUACGUAGGGCGCAAGCGUUAUCCGGAAUUAUUGGGCGUAAAGAGCUCGUAGGCGGUUUGUCGCGUCUGCCGUGAAAGUCCGGGGCUCAACCCCGGAUCUGCGGUGGGUACGGGCAGACUAGAGUGAUGUAGGGGAGACUGGAAUUCCUGGUGUAGCGGUGAAAUGCGCAGAUAUCANGAGGAACACCGAUGGCGAANGCAGGUCUCUGGGCAUUAACUGACGCUGANGAGCGAAAGCAUGGGGAGCGAACAGGAUUAGAUACCCUGGUAGUCCAUGCCGUAAACGUUGGGCACUNNNGUGGGGGACNUUCCACGUUUUCCGCGCCGUANCUAACGCAUUAAGUGCCCCGCCUGGGGANUACGGCCGCAAGGNUAAAACUCNAAGGAAUUGACGGGGGCCCGCACAAGCGGCG
rnacentral:rRNA from 1 species